CUAAUAGUAUCUACCACAAUAAA
rnacentral:miRNA from 2 species